rnacentral:rRNA from 1 species
GCAUCGAUGAAGAACGCAGCGAAACGCGAUAUGUAAUGUGAAUUGCAGAAUUCAGUGAAUCAUCGAAUCUUUGAACGCACAUGGCGCCUUCCAGUAUCCUGGGAGGCAUGCCUGUCCGAGCGUCGUUUCAACCCUCGAGCCCCUGUGGCCCGGCGUUGGGGAUCUGCCACGGCAGGCCCCUAAAACCAGUGGCGGACCCGAAGGCCCUCUCCUUUGCGCAGUAGCAUCAGCCUCGCAUUGGGAUCCCUCGGCGUCCUGCCUCUAAACCCCCCACAAGUCCGCUCCGGCGGCACCAAGGUUGACCUCGGAUCAGGUAGGAAUACCCGCUGAACUUAAGCAUAUCAAUAAGCGGAGGAA